UGAGGAAUAUUGGACAAUGGGUGAAAGCCUGAUCCAGCCAUCCCGCGUGAAGGAUUAAGGACCUACGGUUUGUAAACUUCUUUUAUAUAGGGAUAAACCUCUCCUCGUGAGGAGAGCUGAAGGUACUAUAUGAAUAAGCACCGGCUAACUCCGUGCCAGCAGCCGCGGUAAUACGGAGGGUGCAAGCGUUAUCCGGAUUUAUUGGGUUUAAAGGGUCCGUAGGCGGGCUAAUAAGUCAGUGGUGAAAUCUCAUAGCUUAACUAUGAAACUGCCAUUGAUACUGUUAGUCUUGAGUAUAGUUGAGGUAGCUGGAAUAAGUAGUGUAGCGGUGAAAUGCAUAGAUAUUACUUAGAACACCAAUUGCGAAGGCAGGUUACCAAGUUAUAACUGACGCUGAUGGACGAAAGCGUGGGGAGCGAACA
rnacentral:rRNA from 1 species